UACGUAGGGGGCAAGCGUUGUCCGGAUUUAUUGGGCGUAAGGAGCUCGUAGGCGGCUCGGUAAGUCGGAUGUGAAACCUCCAGGCUCAACCUGGAGACGCCAUCUGAUACUGCCGUGGCUUGAGUCCGGUAGAGGAGCAGGGAAUUCCUGGUGUAGCGGUGAAAUGCGCAGAUAUCAGGAGGAACACCAGCGGCGAAGGCGCUGCUCUGGGCCGGUACUGACGCUGAGGAGCGAAAGCGUGGGGAGCGAACAGG
rnacentral:rRNA from 1 species